rnacentral:misc_RNA from 1 species
GCAUUUUCAAGCUCAAACAUCAGAAAUUUAAAAAAAAAAUGAAAUGAGACAUUUUUUGGGGAUAAUUGACAAAAUAUGACUAUUCCAGUCAACGUUGGUAUGUUGGUCCAGAAUUUUAUUUUUCAAACAAUAACAGCCACGUUGAAGAUAUCAUAAUUGAAAGGUACUAGAGGCCUGCAGUUGCAUUGCUUAGCCAAAGAAAAACAUACCCUGUUCUCUUAAGGGGUGGCCG